rnacentral:rRNA from 1 species
GAUGAACGCUGGCGGCGUGCCUAAUACAUGCAAGUCGAACGGAGAGUAUAGCAAUAUGCUCUUAGUGGCGAACGGGUGAGUAACGCGUUGGUGACCUGCCCCGAAGAGAGGGAUACCAGUUCGAAAGGACUGUUAAUACCGCAUAAUAUUGUUCAGAUUAGAUGCUGGAUAAUGAAAGGGAGAAAUCCGCUUUGGGAGGGGCCUGCGUCCCAUCAGCUAGUUGGUAGGGUAAAAGCCUACCAAGGCGAUGACGGGUAGGGGACCUGAGAGGGUGGCCCCCCACAAUGGAACUGAAACACGGUCCAUACACCUACGGGUGGCUG